GGUGGCUCAGCGGUAGAGCACUUGCCUUGCAUGCAUGAGACCCUGGGUUCGAUUCCUCAGCACCA
rnacentral:tRNA from 1 species